UACGUAGGGACCAAGCGUUGUUCGGAUUUACUGGGCGUAAAGGGCGCGUAGGCGGCAAUUCAAGUCAUCUGUGAAAUCUCCGGGCUUAACUCGGAACGGUCAGAUGAUACUGCUUUGCUCGAGUGCGGAAGGGGCAAUCGGAAUUCUUGGUGUAGCGGUGAAAUGCGCAGAUAUCGGGAGGAACACCAAUUGCGAAGGCAGCUCGCUGGGACGUUACUGACGCUGAGACGCGAAAGCGUGGGGAGCAAACAGG
rnacentral:rRNA from 1 species